rnacentral:rRNA from 1 species
AGAGUUUGAUCAUGGCUCAGAACGAACGCUUGCUGCAUGCUUUAUACAUGCAAGUCGAACGGAGGCCCUAGCUUGCUAGGUGUCCUUAGUGGCGCACGGGUGAGUAACACGUGGGAACAUACCUCAUAGUACGGAAUAACUGCGGGAAACUGUAGCUAAUACCGUAUAUUCCAGCAAUGGGAAAGAUUUAUCGCUAUGAGAUUGGCCCGCGCAAGAUUAGUUUGUUGGUAAGGUAAUGGCUUACCAAGGCUACGAUCUUUAGCUGGUUUGAGAGGAUGAUCAGCCACACUGGGACUGAGACACGGCCCAGACUCCUACGGGAGGCAGCAGUAGGGAAUAUUGGACAAUGGGGGAAACCCUGAUCCAGCAAUGCAGCGUGAGUGACGAAGGCCUUAGGGUUGUAAAACUCUUUCAUCGGUGAGGAUAAUGACAGUAGCCGAAGAAGAAGGACCGGCUAAUUCCGUGCCAGCAGCCGCGGUAAUACGGAAGGUCCUAGCGUUGUUCGGAAUUACUGGGCGUAAAGCGCAUGUAGGCGGAACAGAAAGUUAGAAGUGAAAUCCCUGGGCUCAACCUAGGAAUUGCUUUUAAAACUUCUGUUCUGGAAUUCAGGAGAGGAAAAUGGAAUAUCCAGUGUAGAGGUGAAAUUCGUAGAUAUUGGAUGGAACACCAGUGGCGAAGGCGAUUUUCUGGACUGAUAUUGACGCUGAGAUGCGAAGGCAUGGGUAGCAAACGGGAUUAGAUACCCCGGUAGUCCAUGCAGUAAACGAUGGGGUGCUAGUCGUCGGACUUAUGUUCGGUGUCGUAGCUAACGCGUUAAGCACCCCACCCUGGGGGAGUACGCUCGCAAGAGUGAAACUCAAAGGAA